rnacentral:rRNA from 1 species
UGGGGAAUUUUGGACAAUGGGCGAAAGCCUGAUCCAGCAAUGCCGCGUGUGUGAAGAAGGCCUUCGGGUUGUAAAGCACUUUUGUCCGGAAAGAAAUCCUCUGGGUUAAUACCUCGGGGGGAUGACGGUACCGGAAGAAUAAGCACCGGCUAACUACGUGCCAGCAGCCGCGGUAAUACGUAGGGUGCAAGCGUUAAUCGGAAUUACUGGGCGUAAAGCGUGCGCAGGCGGUUUUGUAAGACGGAUGUGAAAUCCCCGGGCUUAACCUGGGAACUGCAUUCGUGACUGCAAGGCUAGAGUAUGGCAGAGGGGGGUAGAAUUCCACGUGUAGCAGUGAAAUGCGUAGAGAUGUGGAGGAAUACCGAUGGCGAAGGCAGCCCCCUGGGCCAAUACUGACGCUCAUGCACGAAAGCGUGGGGAGCAAACAGGAUUAGAUACCCUGGUAGUCCACGCCCUAAAACGAUGUCAACUAGUUGUUGGGGAUUCAUUUCCUUAGUAACGUAGCUAACGCGUGAAGUUGACCGCCUGGGGAGUACGGUCGCAAGAUUAAAACUUAAAGGAAUUGACGGGGUCAUAGCUGUUUCC